GACAGAGGGUGCAAACGUUGUUCGGAAUUACUGGGCGUAAAGCGCGUGUAGGCGGCUAUGCAAGUCGGAUGUGAAAGCCCUCGGCUCAACCGGGGAAGUGCACCCGAAACUGCAAAGCUAGAGUCUCGGAGAGGAUCGUGGAAUUCUCGGUGUAGAGGUGAAAUUCGUAGAUAUCGAGAGGAACACCUGUGGCGAAGGCGGGU
rnacentral:rRNA from 1 species